CCGAAAAAACCAAUGAGUAACGUUGCAUUGGUCAACGCAUGCUCCAUAAGCGGGCUCCAUGCCAACCGACUCAUUAUUGAGUCUCGCAGAUUUUUUUUGAUUCUCUGCUCGCGACCCCCAUGCUCCGUAGCGCAUCGUGAAGGGUCAGCUGCACUCCAUCACCCAUCAAAUUCUUCGCCGAUAAAAAAAAAAUCAUAUGGUCAAGACGCAGUUUUUAACUUGAAGGUAACGCAUGUUUCCAGCCUGUCAUCUGAGGUUAAUCAACCUGGAACCAAUGCAAAACUCGAGACCCUGGCACCAACUUGGGUGGCAGAGGUGUCGAUAGUCAUCGCACUGCUGCCAAAUAAGACCACCGCUUGACUCCAUCCACACGUAGAUUCUCAAAUCAUGCUUGGGCGUGCUUGCACUACUGAUUGUUCACCUGGAAAAUAUUUUGUUCGGCGAGGGCUGUUUCCCAGACUGGUUCAAAAUAGCGCAGGUAAUACCCCUUCUGACGAAAGUUGUCUUGAGCCAAAGUGACCCCGCAAACUAUCACCCGAUCUAAAAAUACCAUUUCAAAGGUCAUAGAGAACAUUUGUCUGAAGCGAUUUCUUCCCCACGUUGCUGCGACGGGCAGGUUCAAUCCAUUGCAGUCGGUAUAAUGGAAGUUCCACACCACUGAAAUGGCUCUACUAAAGAUCAUUGAUGACCUCUACAAGAUCAUGGAUGACCGUCGCUCUGCAGCGUUGGUUGGCCUCGAUCUCAUAGCCGCCUUCGACACCAUCGACCAUGAGAUACUCAUCGGGCGGCUAAAGUCAAGGUUCAGUGUAUCGGCUAUGGAACUGGGGUGGAUUGAGAAAUGCCUACAUGGUCGAUCGCAGUUCUUCAAGCUGGGUGACGAACAGUCAUCGCCUAUGUCGUGCCCUGUUGGCAUACCACAAGGGUCCAUUAACAUAUAUCUCUCCGAUUGCCGAUAUCAUCUCAUCGCAUGACAUCGAGUUCCAUCGAUAUGCUUUUGAUACACAAUUGUACACCGCAAUGAAGUCAAAGUUAGAUAUGGAUAGCCUCAGUAAACUCGAACAUCGCACGUUUGUGUGGUUUGCACAAAACGAAAUGCUGCUUAAUCCAGGAAAAUCAGAGGUUCUGUUGGUUGGCACUAGGGCUCAGGCGAAAACAUUUGUGGGAGGAUCACGUGUGGUGGUCGUACACUGCAGGGUUGAGUUUUCUAUUUAUAUCUAAAGAGCCACGACCAAAAUACUGUAUGUUGUUCGAUCACCACGUGCACAAUAUAGUCAGGUCUUGCAAUUUUUAUAUCAGGGCUCUACGACAUAUUCAGCCACUAUUAAGUCGUCAGAGCCAACACAGUGGCGGACAGCAAAGUAUUGAUAAGUCUCGAUAAUUGCAACUCGCUACCCUACGGGAUGUCUGACAAAAACAUUAUCAAGCUGCAGUGUGUAUACAAGUCUUUGGAACGUGUCGUAAUGGGCACUACAAAGUUAUGACCAUGUCCGUUUGGUGCUCGCCGAGCUGCAUUGGCUUCCGGUUGUUGAACGAAUACAUUCUAUACAAAGUGCUUUGCAACAAAUGAACCACAAUACCGUGUGGAUCUUAUCGAGGACCAUAAACCAUCACGCAAACUCUGGUCAUCCUCACCAGUGGCUACCACCUAUGAUUCCUUUCCCUCCAAAACGUUUGGGUUUUAUCUGUCUGUCGUUUGAGAAAAACACACAUUUGGGCAAAUUAGCUCUGGUUGAAUAUUUGUUGUAGUCGUCAAUGCAGUGGGUUAUUUUCCCCAGUUUUCCUGUUUUGCUCUAAAGUCCACGAAUGAAUAUUCCAGGAUCACGCGAUAAAAGCCCCACCCCUCCCUCGAGGGGUGGGGCUUCUGCCUAUAGUUUCUUCAUUAUAGAUUUCUGGCGCUGGCCGAAGAUGGAAUGUUCAUAAUAGUAGAUCCUUGGUGGUGGCCACCAGUGAAAACCAGGCUUAACGUAAGUCUUAAAGCCUCAAGUUUCAAACACACAUUUGUGCCUUGAAAUUGUAAUGAUAACAUCAAUCGUAGGUUACCUAACAAGAUAAAAAUAAAUGAAGGUCAAGCUGUCACAAGUACGGAUGGAUCAAAGUCACUUAACUCAGGAUUUAGAAACUCUGGCUCGUCGUCAUAGCAUUAGUAACCCUGUGCAAACUGAUUCUCGAGUUACCUCACCACCAUUCAGUGUGGCAUCACAUUUACUGGCACAUCCCAUUUAUACCAUCAGUUGAGAAAAUAUAUUAGCAAUAUUAUUUAGUCAUAGCUUAAGAAUGCAGUAUGCGUAGACAGACUUGUGUCUCCUGUGCACAUGCAUCCACGUUUUGCAUUUGAAACUUGAAGCAGAAGGAACUGCACUUAAAUUCUAGUGGAGGCAUUGUGAGUGGGGCUGGCUUUACCACAACAUUUUUAGUUGCUUUUAAACUGUUCCAACAAACACAGAAGCUAACUUAUGGUAGUGUUUAUGUUCAUACGAUGACACUUACGCACUUUACAUAGCUAAUAUUCACGAGCCAUUUUAAUGUGCAAUCUGUUGUCUUAAUAUAACAAACAAGCUUUAGUUAAGAGGAAAGGAAAUGGUGAAUUACUAUUGUCAAAUUGUAGAAUUUAAAUAAUCCACCUGCUUUUGAGGUAUUUACAUGGGGAGGGGGGGGGGUAAAGGGUUUUUUCAGAAAUGCUGAACUGUGAUUGGCUCUCCACUGUCGUAUGACCUUCAUGUGACCUUCAAAAUGGCCCGACUUAACUUUAACUCGGGGAUGCCAAUUUACACUGAGAAAACACUCAAAGGUUAAAACUCAAGCAAAUUCUAUUUUAUCUUUUUAAAAAAUCUUGAGCUCAAUCAACCUUGGCUAUUAAUGGAGCAGACAACGUUUUCAUCACAUAUAAUUUGACUCUGAAGGUUAUAGAUUUACACAAUUAUAUUUUAUUGUCUUGGAAUAUUUAAUUUACAAUACACAUUGUUGUCAGUGUUCAUAAUAUAAACUUGAUGUCAAUGUUAACUUUAAAGAAAUGCAUUAGGUAGUUAAUCCACCGUAUUACUGUUAAUAUUGUUAAUAUCACGCAAUUACACCUACAAUAUAUUAAUAUAAAAAUACAAUAUCUGGCAUAUCAAUUCGUGUAUCACAAUAUAGUACUGCCGGAUUCCUAUUUGGAUAUUAAUGUUACGUGAUCGCUUUAUUCACGAAUGCACCUUUUGCGACACAGCCAGCACGUACAUCUUGACAUGUAAGCACAAUAAUGUAUUUGUGCACGCCUUUACACGUGUUUGUGUACAAUUGUGUAGUUUUGCGAGUGUGUAUAGUUGUAUACUUGUGUAGUUGUGCGAAUGUGUAUAGUUCUUGUUUGUGGCAAGUUCCUUUUAAAGUGUUUGUGCAUGUCGGAGGAAACUGGAGGACCCAAAGAAUACCCAUGCAUGUGUAGGGGUAUAGCGCCAGCUGCUGGCGGCAAAGGGUAACUGCGGUGUACGGCAGUACUCGCGUCAGCAGGCUACGAUAUAUACAAGAGGGAGACAUCUAGGCCAGACAUGGGCAAAGUACGGCCCCCGGGCCGUAUACGGCCCGUUGGGCUUUUUAAUCCGGCCCGCCGAACUUGUCCAAAUAUAAUUAAUAUUAAAUGAAAUUUUACCUUUCUCCUGUAAUGCCCCCAUUUCCCCAUUAGAUGGCGCACUUUGACCGGGAGUGUGGUAAUUGGUUUGGGCGCAGGCCUCAGAUGUUUUCAUGAUGUUUGAUCAGUCACGUUACGACAUGUUUUUGUAUUGUUCAUGUUCGUGCAAUUUGUUAAAUUGCCUUGCAAAUAAAUGCUUUGCUACCUGUUAAAGGCCAAAUCCU